GCUAACUCGGCGCACGGCGGCGGGGGAAGAGAGGGGGUGCAAACGGUGCUCGGGAGUGGUGGGCGUAAAGCGCGGGUAGGGGGUCUGAUAAGUCGGACGUGAAAUCCCGGGGCUCAACCCCGGAAGAGCGCUCGAUACUGUCUGACUUGGGUUCUGAAGAGGAGAGCGGAAUUCCCGGUGUAGAGGUGAAAUUCGUAGAUAUCGGGAGGAACACCAGUGGCGAAGGCGGCUCUCUGGGCAGAUACCGACGCUGAGACGCGAAAGCGUGGGAAGCAAACAGGAUUAGAUACCCUGGUAGUC
rnacentral:rRNA from 1 species